rnacentral:rRNA from 1 species
UGAGGAAUAUUGGUCAAUGGACGCAAGUCUGAACCAGCCAAGUAGCGUGCAGGAUGACGGCCCUAUGGGUUGUAAACUGCUUUUAUAUGGGGAUAAAGUGGGGAACGUGUUCCCUUUUGCAGGUACCAUAUGAAUAAGGACCGGCUAAUUCCGUGCCAGCAGCCGCGGUAAUACGGAAGGUUCGGGCGUUAUCCGGAUUUAUUGGGUUUAAAGGGAGCGUAGGCCGUUUGGUAAGCGUGUUGUGAAAUGUAGGAGCUCAACUUCUAGAUUGCAGCGAGAACUGUCAGACUUGAGUGCGCACAACGUAGGCGGAAUUCAUGGUAUAGCGGUGAAAUGCUUAGAUAUCAUGAAGAACUCCGAUUGCGAAGGCAGCUUACGGGAACGAAACUGACGCUAAAGCUCGAAGGAGCGGGUAUCGAACAGG